UGUGUGCCUGAUUCCCCCCCCCCCCCCGUUCUGUAUGCCCCCGCUCCUACCUCCAUUCUGUGUGUCUGGCUCCCCCCUCUGUUCUGUGUGUCUGUCCCCACCCCACUACUGUGUGCCUGGCUCACCUGCCGCCACUCCCGUGCUGUGUGCCUGGCUUGCCCCCCCCUCCCAUGCUGUGUGUCCCGCUCCUCCCUCCGUGCUGUGUGCCCGACCCCCCGUGCUGUGUGCCCGGCUCCCCCGCCUCCCACGUGCUGUGUUCCUGGCUCCCCCGCGCCUCCCACGUGCUGUGUGCUUGGCUCCCCUGCGCCUCCCCCGUGCUGUGUGUGCCCAGCCCCCCUCCCCCUGCUGUAUUCUUGGCUCCCCCAAUCUCCCGUGCUGUGUGCCCGACUCCCCCUCGCUCCUGUCCUCGUUCUGUGUGCCCGGCUCUCCCGCUCCAGCCCCCCAUGCUGUGUUCUCGGCUCCCCGCUUCUCCCCCUGUGCUUUGUGACCGGCUCCACCCUCCGAGCUGUGUGCCUGGCGCACCCACUGAUCCUCCCUGCAGCUGCCCGGAUAUGUUCAUUGACAGCCCUCCGCCUUUGACUGCCUCCCCUCUCUGUCUGUGUACCGAGCGCCUGGGAUCACUCUAAAGAGGUAUGUUCCUGCUCCUUCUCACCAGGGAUGAACAACUGUCAGCAUGCCACAUGUUGCUUUACCACAUCUAAUAUAAUGCUCCAGACUAGAUCUCACUGAAGUGAUGUUCAUUAACGUAUCUUGUGCUAACUGUUAUCCAUCCCUGAGGGUAUGCCAGCAAUAUGCUUCUGCAAUCAGACUGAUUAAAAUGAAGCGGAAUAAAGAGUUCUUACUCAUGAUUAGAGCAAGUGUACAUUCAUUACUUGGAAAUGUAUCCUUCAAAACUUAAAGAGCACACCUCGUCUGUAGACCAGGCAGCCAUUUUGUGAGGAGAACUGAUAUUCACAGGAAAGCAUUCUAUUAUUUUACUGGGAACUUGUGACCUCAUGAAUAUUCCUCCAACCCACAAAACGGAAGCCUUCGAUGACAGUAGACAAGUGCCCCUUAAGCACAAAUAUGGAGGAAACAGGAGUACCCAGAGGAAUCCCACGCAAGCAUGAGGAGAAUAUACAAAUGAUGGGGACUGAACCCACAUCCUCAGUGCUGUUCAGGUCUAUAGAACCUGCCAGUAAUGAAAAUAAAAGACUUCCCAGAAUGCACCAGAGCUGAGACUGGGAAGAGAAAACUCAACAGAGGUUCCAGAAGAACAGUCAAGUUGGCAGUACCAUGUUUCCACCAAUCGCCUUAAGUGUUUUUUAUUGUAAAGAGCACGUUCUGCUAUUGAAACCAUCUGGUAUUAAAUACUCCAAAGGGAAACUCCAGUUCUGGCUUGUGGUUUACCCUUCUGUCUGUAAUUUAUGCUCAUAGACUGAUCAGUAUAAUUUGGCAGAUGCUUGCAAACUAGCUGCGAUAUUUCCAAGACGCUACAGAGUGCUCCAAUGAAUAAUGCACAUUUCAUAUGUUAUUACAGAGCAGUGUGCUGUGUGGAUUACUGCUCCACAAUGAAGGAAGACAUAAAUUAUACAGUCAUUCAUUACCUUCGGGCAGCCAGUUCAGGAAAAAACACCAUAUAAUAAGGAACUGGUUCUGAAUAGUCUGAUGGAAAUAUUUAGCUCAAUGCAUGCUGGUAAAAGGGUUAAUGCAGACUGUGCCUGGGAAAUACUGGCAAAAAAUUAAUAAUUCAAGUGAGUACUAUGUAAAGAAAAAAAUCCUAAUAAAAAGAUUUAAUUUACUUUA